rnacentral:rRNA from 1 species
UUAAGCGACUAAGCGUACACGGUGGAUGCCCUGGCAGUCAGAGGCGAUGAAGGACGUGCUAAUCUGCGAUAAGCGUCGGUAAGGUGAUAUGAACCGUUAUAACCGGCGAUUUCCGAAUGGGGAAACCCAGUGUGAUUCGUCACACUAUCAUUAACUGAAUCCAUAGGUUAAUGAGGCGAACCGGGGGAACUGAAACAUCUAAGUACCCCGAGGAAAAGAAAUCAACCGAGAUUCCCCCAGUAGCGGCGAGCGAACGGGGAGCAGCCCAGAGCCUGAAUCAGUGUGUGUGUUAGUGGAAGCGUCUGGAAAGGCGCGCGAUACAGGGUGACAGCCCCGUACACAAAAAUGCACAUGCUGUGAGCUCGAUGAGUAGGGCGGGACACGUGGUAUCCUGUCUGAAUAUGGGGGGACCAUCCUCCAAGGCUAAAUACUCCUGACUGACCGAUAGUGAACCAGUACCGUGAGGGAAAGGCGAAAAGAACCCCGGCGAGGGGAGUGAAAAAGAACCUGAAACCGUGUACGUACAAGCAGUGGGAGCACGCUUAGGCGUGUGACUGCGUACCUUUUGUAUAAUGGGUCAGCGACUUAUAUUCUGUAGCAAGGUUAACCGAAUAGGGGAGCCGAAGGGAAACCGAGUCUUAACUGGGCGUUAAGUUGCAGGGUAUAGACCCGAAACCCGGUGAUCUAGCCAUGGGCAGGUUGAAGGUUGGGUAACACUAACUGGAGGACCGAACCGACUAAUGUUGAAAAAUUAGCGGAUGACUUGUGGCUGGGGGUGAAAGGCCAAUCAAACCGGGAGAUAGCUGGUUCUCCCCGAAAGCUAUUUAGGUAGCGCCUCGUGAACUCAUCUCCGGGGGUAGAGCACUGUUUCGGCAAGGGGGUCAUCCCGACUUACCAACCCGAUGCAAACUGCGAAUACCGGAGAAUGUUAUCACGGGAGACACACGGCGGGUGCUAACGUCCGUCGUGAAGAGGGAAACAACCCAGACCGCCAGCUAAGGUCCCAAAGUCAUGGUUAAGUGGGAAACGAUGUGGGAAGGCCCAGACAGCCAGGAUGUUGGCUUAGAAGCAGCCAUCAUUUAAAGAAAGCGUAAUAGCUCACUGGUCGAGUCGGCCUGCGCGGAAGAUGUAACGGGGCUAAACCAUGCACCGAAGCUGCGGCAGCGACGCUGAUGCGUUGUUGGGUAGGGGAGCGUUCUGUAAGCCUGUGAAGGUGUGCUGUGAGGCAUGCUGGAGGUAUCAGAAGUGCGAAUGCUGACAUAAGUAACGAUAAAGCGGGUGAAAAGCCCGCUCGCCGGAAGACCAAGGGUUCCUGUCCAACGUUAAUCGGGGCAGGGUGAGUCGACCCCUAAGGCGAGGCCGAAAGGCGUAGUCGAUGGGAAACAGGUUAAUAUUCCUGUACUUGGUGUUACUGCGAAGGGGGGACGGAGAAGGCUAUGUUGGCCGGGCGACGGUUGUCCCGGUUUAAGCGUGUAGGCUGGUUUUCCAGGCAAAUCCGGAAAAUCAAGGCUGAGGCGUGAUGACGAGGCACUACGGUGCUGAAGCAACAAAUGCCCUGCUUCCAGGAAAAGCCUCUAAGCAUCAGGUAACAUCAAAUCGUACCCCAAACCGACACAGGUGGUCAGGUAGAGAAUACCAAGGCGCUUGAGAGAACUCGGGUGAAGGAACUAGGCAAAAUGGUGCCGUAACUUCGGGAGAAGGCACGCUGAUAUGUAGGUGAAGUCCCUCGCGGAUGGAGCUGAAAUCAGUCGAAGAUACCAGCUGGCUGCAACUGUUUAUUAAAAACACAGCACUGUGCAAACACGAAAGUGGACGUAUACGGUGUGACGCCUGCCCGGUGCCGGAAGGUUAAUUGAUGGGGUCAGCGCAAGCGAAGCUCUUGAUCGAAGCCCCGGUAAACGGCGGCCGUAACUAUAACGGUCCUAAGGUAGCGAAAUUCCUUGUCGGGUAAGUUCCGACCUGCACGAAUGGCGUAAUGAUGGCCAGGCUGUCUCCACCCGAGACUCAGUGAAAUUGAACUCGCUGUGAAGAUGCAGUGUACCCGCGGCAAGACGGAAAGACCCCGUGAACCUUUACUAUAGCUUGACACUGAACAUUGAGCCUUGAUGUGUAGGAUAGGUGGGAGGCUUAGAAGUGUGGACGCCAGUCUGCAUGGAGCCGACCUUGAAAUACCACCCUUUAAUGUUUGAUGUUCUAACGUUGACCCGUAAUCCGGGUUGCGGACAGUGUCUGGUGGGUAGUUUGACUGGGGCGGUCUCCUCCUAAAGAGUAACGGAGGAGCACGAAGGUUGGCUAAUCCUGGUCGGACAUCAGGAGGUUAGUGCAAUGGCAUAAGCCAGCUUGACUGCGAGCGUGACGGCGCGAGCAGGUGCGAAAGCAGGUCAUAGUGAUCCGGUGGUUCUGAAUGGAAGGGCCAUCGCUCAACGGAUAAAAGGUACUCCGGGGAUAACAGGCUGAUACCGCCCAAGAGUUCAUAUCGACGGCGGUGUUUGGCACCUCGAUGUCGGCUCAUCACAUCCUGGGGCUGAAGUAGGUCCCAAGGGUAUGGCUGUUCGCCAUUUAAAGUGGUACGCGAGCUGGGUUUAGAACGUCGUGAGACAGUUCGGUCCCUAUCUGCCGUGGGCGCUGGAGAACUGAGGGGGGCUGCUCCUAGUACGAGAGGACCGGAGUGGACGCAUCACUGGUGUUUGGGUUGUCAUGCCAAUGGCACUGCCCGGUAGCUAAAUGCGGAAGAGAUAAGUGCUGAAAGCAUCUAAGCACGAAACUUGCCCCGAGAUGAGUUCUCCCUGACCCUUUAAGGGUCCUGAAGGAACGUUGAAGACGACGACGUUGAUAGGCCGGGUGUGUAAGCGCAGCGAUGCGUUGAGCUAACCGGUACUAAUGAACCGUGAGGCUUAACCUU